rnacentral:ncRNA from 1 species
UAAAAGUUUUAUUUUAUCUUAAAGAUUAAGUUUUAUUUUUAGUUAUAUAUAAAUUAUUUUUUAGAAGAAAAUUAUAGUAAUUAUAUUUAUAUAUUAAAGAAAUUUAGAUUUAGGAAUAAUAAUUAGUAUUAACAAAAUUUGUGCCAGCAGUUGCGGUUAUACAAAUAAUAUAACUUAAUUAUAUUAAUAAAAAUUAAUUUUAUUAUAAUAAAUUUUUAUAUAAAAUUUUUUAAGUGAAAUUUUAAAUUUUAAGGAUAAAUUUUAAUUUUAAAAUGAAGUUUAUAAAUUUAAUUAAUAAACUAGGAUUAGAUACCCUAUUAUUUUAAAUGUAAUCUAAAAUAUUAAAUUAGUAUUAGUUAUGUUCUUAAAAAUUAAAAAUUUUGGCGGUAUUUUAGUCUUUUCAGAGGAACCUGUUCUGUAAAUGAUAAUCCACGAUUUAAUUUAUUUAUAUUAUUAGUUUGUAUAUCAUCGUAAUUAAGUAUUUUAUUAAAAUUAUUAAUAUUUAAGAUUUUUAAUUAAAAAAUUAAUCAGAUCAAGGUGCAAUUUAUAUAUAAGUAGAAAUGGGUUACAAUAAAAAUAUUUUUGAAUAAUUUUUUUUAUAAAAAAUUUGAAUUUGGAUUUGAUAGUAAUUUUAAUAAAUUAAUUAAUUUGAUUUUGGCUCUAAAAUAUGCACAUAUCGCCCGUCGCUUUCAUUUAAUAUGAAAUAAGUCGUAACAAAGUAGAUUUACUGGAAAGUAAAUCUAGAUUAUC